CAGGAAGGAGGAAGGAGUCACUGCCAGCGGCCGCCAUGACAAACAGCAUGUGAAGAUGCCGGAUCCCCAUCCUGGAUAUUCUAUCAAAGCAGCAGGACAGAGACACUGAUGCCAGUCAACAUCUGACAAAGCCCGCCCCAUCCUUGAGAAUCAUUUACUCCAGCAAGCCCUGGCUGAAGGAAAUCCCAGAAUGGAUGCAGACUCUGAAUGUGCUGGCCCAGAGCCCCACAGCUCUGACAAGGUCAGCAGGGAAGUAGGGAGACUCCUUCGGGAACACAACACCUGUGCUACCUCCCAGAUGUCACAGGGCCACAUCUGAGAGACCUGCAGAUCAGAGGGCCAGCUUUCACUCUCCACUCCAGGGCUCACAACACUGGUUCCCCCGAAGCAGACAUCCUGAAAACCUUCAGUUCUUUCCAAACGUGCCAGAAAACUGACACCGGAGCCUUGUUUCUACACCGUGUUUUACAUUAGCCUCACUCUUCCGAUAAAUUUAACACCGGAAUUAUAUACAACAUGAAGUGCAGGCAAACCCAGCGGCUCCUUCACCAGCUCUUCUGGGAGCAGCUGCUGGAACAGGGCUGUAUCUGACAACAGGAAAGCCUCGUCUUUCAAUGUGGAGGGGCCCUAGGGAAGGCGCCAGCAAGGUAACCUCCCUGUGACCUCGCGAGGGAUCAGAAAGAUUUACUCCAUCUUGUAAGUGUCAGAAGAACACAGCAAACUCCUCCAUCUGUCUCCAGUCUUCAGGCCACGGCAUGCCUGCCUUCCCAAGUGCCAAGCUAAAAAGUGACUCUCAUUCUCUGUGGACUUUACAGACAUCUCUCUGUGGACGGAACCAUUUUAGGUACAGAGAAUUUCUGGAGAGAGGAAUGGAUGGAAGGCCCUAACACCUGUCCCCCUUUGCCAUGAUUGAUCAUAAGGGAUAUUUAUUUAACAAGGGCUCAGAAUUACGACUUAAUUGGUUGUAAUCUGCUCAAUGAAGGAAUAAUGUCCUCUGCAAUUAUUCUAAUCUGGUCCAUUUAAUCUAAAAAUCUAUGGGACAUUACAGAUUUUUUCUGAGGCAGAAUAUUUGAAUCUCUUUCUCCACAUUUGUGUUUCAACUAUUGACAUAUAAAACAAAUGGCCACUUCUUUAAAGGCUGAGAUUUAAUAAAAAAAAAAUCUAUACUUUUUACUCA